rnacentral:rRNA from 1 species
AUACGGAGGGUGCAAGCGUUAUCCGGAAUCACUGGGUUUAAAGGGUGCGUAGGCGGCCAUAUUAGUCAGUAGUGAAAGGUUGCAGCUUAACUGUAAGACUGCUAUUGAAACUGUAUGGCUUGAAUUAGGAUGAGGUAGGCGGAAUGUGACAUGUAGCGGUGAAAUGCUUAGAUAUGUCAUAGAACACCGAUUGCGUAGGCAGCUUACUAGACCUAUAUUGACGCUGAGGCACGAAAGCGUGGGGAGCGAACAGGAUUAGAAACCCUAGUAGUCC